rnacentral:rRNA from 1 species
UACGAAGGGGGCUAGCGUUGCUCGGAAUUACUGGGCGUAAAGCGCACGUAGGCGGUCUUUUAAGUCGGGGGUGAAAUCCUGGAGCUCAACUCCAGAACUGCCUCGAUACUGGAAGACUUGAGUCCGGGAGAGGUGAGUGGAACUGCGAGUGUAGAGGUGAAAUUCGUAGAUAUUCGCAAGAACACCAGUGGCGAAGGCGGCUCACUGGCCCGAUACUGACGCUGAUGCGCGAAAGCGUGGGGAGCAAA